UGGGGAAUAUUGCACAAUGGGCGAAAGCCUGAUGCAGCGACGCCGCGUGAGGGAUGACGGCCUUCGGGUUGUAAACCUCUUUCAGCAGGGACGAAGCGCAAGUGACGGUACCUGCAGAAGAAGCACCGGCUAACUACGUGCCAGCAGCCGCGGUAAUACGUAGGGUGCAAGCGUUGUCCGGAAUUACUGGGCGUAAAGAGUUCGUAGGCGGUUUGUCGCGUCGUUUGUGAAAACCAGCAGCUCAACUGCUGGCUUGCAGGCGAUACGGGCAGACUUGAGUACUGCAGGGGAGACUGGAAUUCCUGGUGUAGCGGUGAAAUGCGGAGGUAUCAGGAGGAACACCGGUGGCGAAGGCGAGUCUCUGGGCAGUAACUGACGCUGAGGAACGAAAGCGUGGGUAGCGAACAGG
rnacentral:rRNA from 1 species